rnacentral:rRNA from 1 species
GAACGCUGGCGGCGUGCUUAACACAUGCAAGUCGAACGGAAAGGCCCUGCUUUUGUGGGGUGCUCGAGUGGCGAACGGGUGAGUAACACGUGAGUAACCUGCCCUUGACUUUGGGAUAACUUCAGGAAACUGGGGCUAAUACCGGAUAGGAGCUCCUGCUGCAUGGUGGGGGUUGGAAAGUUUCGGCGGUUGGGGAUGGACUCGCGGCUUAUCAGCUUGUUGGUGGGGUAGUGGCUUACCAAGGCUUUGACGGGUAGCCGGCCUGAGAGGGUGACCGGCCACAUUGGGACUGAGAUACGGCCCAGACUCCUACGGGAGGCAGCAGUGGGGAAUAUUGCACAAUGGGCGGAAGCCUGAUGCAGCAACGCCGCGUGCGGGAUGACGGCCUUCGGGUUGUAAACCGCUUUCGCCUGUGACGAAGCGUGAGUGACGGUAAUGGGUAAAGAAGCACCGGCUAGCUACGUG